rnacentral:misc_RNA from 1 species
GUAGGUGAACCUGCGGAGAGAUCAUUAACACGUGUAAAAACGUAUUUUAACAAAAACCCUAACCUAACAAACCAAUACCGUGAACUAUGUUAUAAUAUAUUGAUUAUUAUUAUACCUUUUUUUUUAUCUUUUAUGUUUUACUAGUAACAUAGUAAAAUAUGAUAGUGUGAAAAAAACAAACCCUUUUCCAACCUUUAUUUUUUUCUAUCUGUUUGUUAUAUAUAUGUUUCUUACGAGAUCUGUAUAUGCU